rnacentral:rRNA from 1 species
AUUACUGGGCGUAAAGAGCUCGUAGGUGGUUUGUCGCGUUGUUCGUGAAAUCUCACGGCUUAACUGUGAGCGUGCGGGCGAUACGGGCAGACUUGAGUACUGCAGGGGAGACUGGAAUUCCUGGUGUAGCGGUGGAAUGCGCAGAUAUCAGGAGGAACACCGGUGGCGAAGGCGGGUCUCUGGGCAGUAACUGACGCUGAGGAGCGAAAGCGUGGGGAGCGAACAGGAUUAGAUACCCUGGUAGUCCACGCCGUAAACGGUGGGUACUAGGUGUGGGUUUCCUUCCUUGGGAUCCGUGCCGUAGCUAACGCAUUAAGUACCCCGCCUGGGGAGUACGGCCGCAAGGCUAAAACUCAAAGAAAUUGACGGGGGCCCGCACAAGCGGCGGAGCAUGUGGAUUAAUUCGAUGCAACGCGAAGAACCUUACCUGGGUUUGACAUGCACAGGACGCCGGCAGAGAUGUCGGUUCCCUUGUGGCCUGUGUGCAGGUGGUGCAUGGCUGUCGUCAGCUCGUGUCGUGAGAUGUUGGGUUAAGUCCCGCA